rnacentral:misc_RNA from 1 species
CUCCAUUCCAAUUCACCUAAUUGGUAAAAUAUGAGGCAGAACAUGCGACGUAAUUGUCUAAUUGAUAUUUCAUUGGUGAUAAUAUCGACUGUUCAUCCUAAUGAUUUUCUAGAAAAUAUCUGUGAUAAUAAUUGUUGGAUUAUACAUGUUUCUCCAUGUUUUUCCUGCCAACGAGGACAAGUUUGCACCACAAAGUGUUGAUAAUCAUGUUCAAUCUCCUCGGCAAGUUGUUGAUCUGUAUCAUGUAAUCAAAUGGCUACCCGAUUACAGAGAUAUGAUAUGCAGAAGCUUUGCUUUAGGAAGAUAUUGAUUGGGAUUUUCUUUAAAUCGGCUGUUGCAAGAGGUAUGAUUUGAAAAUCACAAAAAACUCAUCAAUGGGUCUCAAUCAUAGAGGAGAUAUGAUAUAUGUGUUGGUCAUUUAAAUUGGAGGUAGGUUCAAUCUCUGUCCUAUCUUCAAUUUCAGAAUUCCAGGGAAGAAUUCUUGUGCCUGAGGAGAUUAACUUUCAGGUAGAUACUCAUUGGAAUCCCUCAAUAAAGCCACAAAAACUUCUCCAUUAACCUUGUCUCCAUUCCAAAUUUCCAAUAUACAUUGACAAGGAAUAUAUUACAAUUUCUUCACAAGCAUCACAUAACGAUAGGGAAUUAUCCUCCAUAUAUUUUUACACACACAACCAAUGUACUUGUAAAAGAUAUAGUGGUUUUCCUCUCAAGUUUUCAGGCGCUUUCACCAGGAUACUUGCAAGCAUUAUAGCCUACAAGAUAGAAGAGAUCAAGAAUGAACAUUACUACAUUCGCGUUCAUCUAAAGAGUCGUUUAGAAAAUUAGCAUGCUUUGAAGGAACUUACUGGGAUUUUUAGACGAAAGAGUGGCCGUUUGUGAGAAAUCACAGUUCAAUGGAUUUCUGUCGGAAGUUUGAUAAAGGAGAUUCAUGGCAUAAGCAGCAUGCGAUGAUACUGUAUUUGGUUCAAAGCAAGCUCCACCUGGUUGAAUUGGACUACAGUCAAUCCCUCGUCCACAGGCAUAAUCCAGAUUUGCCUGCAAUUGGGCGUCAGAAACACCAGCCUUUGGCACACACCAUGUUGCUUUGUUUGGCACUGGUGAUGGAGUCACCGGAGUUUUUGGCGUAGAUGGAGUCUGGCUACUCUUGGAGAGGCCAACAUCAUAAGUCAUGGUGAGAUCAGGCUUGAAAAGGCCAAAUGAUCGCUCAGAGCCAGGUCCAGGUUUCAAGUCUUCAUCAUACAGAGCAAAGAGAUAUGUAUCUACUGAUUUACCUGGCAUCAAUGGGGUGCCCACCACUGAUCGAAGGUGUGCAAUCAAAUUACCAUUGUAAGCCUUAGCAUUCUCAAUACUUGGCCCUACUUCAUUGCUGUCUCCCUUGUAAGGCCAUCCAGUCUCAGCUACCACAAUUUCCACAUUCUUAAAGCCCAGAGAGCACAACGCAGAAUGAACAGCAUCAACCUGAGCAUCGAACAUGUUCAUGUACUUGAUCUUUGUGUUUGCAUCAAAACGUCCUGCAUUCGGUUGGAAAAGACAAAAGGCAAGAGUCUCGGGCCUUGGAUCGCUCCUGUAAGCAAAGUACGGGUACGGAUUGAUCGCGAAAGGCGAGCCCGUGGCAUCGUUAAACCCCAAUAAACCCUUCAUCAAAUCCCCGUAACUGGGAUCGAAGCUUCCGGUCGAUGGUGGCUCUGAUUGCUUCAGUAUCGCCAUAGAAUGAACUGUAGAGACCUUAAUCUCGGGCCCAAGAGACGCUGCGUGCAGAGCAUUUUGGACAUUUUGCAUUGCCGGCAAGAGCUUCGUCAUGAGAUUCUGGUCGCCAGAGGUCAACACCUCAUUGCCGACGGUGAUGAGGAUGAUUUUGCUAGCUGGAUAAAAUGGAACCACGUUGGUGUUGACCCAGUUCUUGGCGAAGUUAGGAUCUGAGGCUAGUGAGGGAAUAUCACCAUUCGAGGCGCCGAUGACGAUUCCUAUUCCAGUAUUGGCUAAGGCUUUGAUUAAAGCCGGGUCUGACCCGUAUAAUCUGACCUUUUGGAUUGAAGUCGACUGAAGAAGCUUUGCUGUGGCUGACGGCGGCGGGAGGUUAUCCGCGACUUGGCCAUAGUUUACACCGAUGAAUGAUUGCGAGUUUGCGAUGUUAGCCUGUAAGAGAGAAAGAAGGAUCAAAGCAAAAGUAUAAAGACGCGCUGCCAUGAUUGGGAAGCUAUCUCUGUUUUCUAGUGCUCAUUGAAGGUGAAAUGGGGCAAUAAAUAUGCAAGAUGCGAAGGUCCUAGAGGGGCAAAAUCGUAAAGAAAACUUUCGGUUGGCAAUUACUUUUUCAAAAGAUAAUAUUACAGAAUUAGAAUCUAGAAACUCAAGCACUUGCAUGUACGGAACUACGAACAAUCGUUUGCUUGUUUAAACCACAUAUAUAUACUAACAAUCUCAGGGAGUACAAUGGCGAAGAAGUUUCUAAUACUGUCACUCGCACCCCAAGCAAGCUAGAGAAAUGAAGAGCGACAUCUCUGGCAAGCAAAGA